UACGUAGGGGGCUAGCGUUGUCCGGAAUCAUUGGGCGUAAAGCGCGUGUAGGCGGCCCGAUAAGUCCGCUGUGAAAGUCAGGGCUCAACCCUGGGAUGCCGGUGGAUACUGUCGGGCUCGAGUCCGGAAGAGGCGAGUGGAAUUCCUGGUGUAGCGGUGAAAUGCGCAGAUAUCAGGAGGAACACCAAUGGCGAAGGCAGCUCGCUGGGACGUGACUGACGCUGAGACGCGAAAGCGUGGGGAGCAAACAGG
rnacentral:rRNA from 1 species